rnacentral:lncRNA from 1 species
ACAGAAAUGAGACUAGAGAUGGAAGAGAAGUGUAAAUGCCGAUUCCACAGCACACUCCAGGAACCCUGGCUGUCCCACCUCCAUUACAAAAAUAGUGGCUGGACAAAUGUCCAGAUUUCCUCUGUUUGAACCACAGAAGCAGAGAAUCUCAGGGGCAGAAGGGACUUUAGGAAAUUGGCCCAACUUAUUGCUUCAACUUCCUCCCCCACCUCAAACACAUACUCAU